UAACGCGUGAGGAACCUGCCUCAAAGAGGGGGACAACAGUUGGAGACGACUGCUAAUACCGCAUAAGCCCACGGCUCGGCAUCGAGCAGAGGGAAAAGGAGCAAUCCGCUUUGAGAUGGCCUCGCGUCCGAUUAGCUAGUUGGUGAGGUAAUGGCCCACCAAGGCGACGAUCGGUAGCCGGACUGAGAGGUUGAACGGCCACAUUGGGACUGAGACACGGCCCAG
rnacentral:rRNA from 1 species